AGUUUAGGGUUUUAUUUCUCUCUUUUCCCUUUUCCCUUGGAAAUAAUAAAGCGCGGUGGCGACUCUUGCUAUUUGAUAGUCAAGUUAAUUAAUAGCUUGAUCUCUGAUUUUCACCGCUACAAAAGGAGAUGUUUGAACACUGAGAGAGAGAGAGGAAGAACUUUUUCAUUCAUUCGCAGACAAAAUGAGAAAGCCAGAAGACAAAAAAAAUCAAAGAAACUUACCUCGCCAGAAAACCGAAGACGCCGCCGGAAAAUUGCUCUUCUCGCCACAGAUUCACCGCGUCAGAGAGCCAACAACCACCGUUCCUCAAGUUUCUUCCACCAAAAGGUUGGGAACCUUCCCCUAAACGUGAAUCCACCCUUACUUUCUUCAAUUAUGUACAACUGUUGUUGGGUUUUGAACAAAUAA